rnacentral:rRNA from 1 species
CAGAGGUCUCAAGCGUUGUUCGGAUUCAUUGGGCGUAAAGGGUGUGUAGGUGGCGCCGUAAGUCGGGUGUGAAAUUUCGGAGCUUAACUCCGAAACUGCAUUCGAUACUGCGGUGCUUGAGGACUGGAGAGGAGACUGGAAUUCAUGGUGUAGCAGUGAAAUGCGUAGAGAUCAUGAGGAAGACCAGUGGCGAAGGCGGGUCUCUGGACAGUCCCUGACACUGAGACACGAAGGCCAGGGGAGCAAACGGGAUUAGAUACCCCGGUAGUCCUGGCAGUAAACGGUGCACGUUUGGUGUGGGAGGAUUCGACCCCUUCUGCGCCGGAGCUAACGCGUUAAACGUGCCGCCUGGGGAGUACGGUCGCAAGAUUA